rnacentral:piRNA from 1 species
UUGACAAUUGUGUGACGGGAGGUGUUU